rnacentral:rRNA from 1 species
CCUACGGGUGGCAGCAGUGGGGAAUAUUGGACAAUGGGGGCAACCCUGAUCCAGCCAUGCCGCGUGUGUGAAGAAGGCCCUCGGGUUGUAAAGCACUUUCAGUGAGGAAGAACGCCUGGUGGUUAAUACCCAUCAGGAAAGACAUCACUCACAGAAGAAGCACCGGCUAACUCCGUGCCAGCAGCCGCGGUAAUACGGAGGGUGCGAGCGUUAUUCGGAAUUACUGGGCGUAAAGCGCGCGUAGGUGGCUUGAUAAGCCGGUUGUGAAAGCCCCGGGCUCAACCUGGGAACGGCAUCCGGAACUGUCAAGCUAGAGUGCAGGAGAGGAAGGUAGAAUUCCCGGUGUAGCGGUGAAAUGCGUAGAGAUCGGGAGGAAUACCAGUGGCGAAGGCGGCCUUCUGGACUGACACUGACACUGAGGUGCGAAAGCGUGGGUAGCAAACAGGAUUAGAUACCCCAGUAGUC